UACGAAGGGGGCUAGCGUUGUUCGGAAUCACUGGGCGUAAAGGGUGCGUAGGCGGGUUUUUAAGUCAGAGGUGAAAUCCUGGAGCUCAACUCCAGAACUGCCUUUGAUACUGAAAGUCUUGAGUAUGGGAGAGGUGAGUGGAACUGCGAGUGUAGAGGUGAAAUUCGUAGAUAUUCGCAAGAACACCAGUGGCGAAGGCGGCUCACUGGCCCAUUACUGACGCUGAGGCACGAAAGCGUGGGGAGCAAACAGG
rnacentral:rRNA from 1 species